UACGGAGGGGCAAGCGUUGUUCGGAAUUACUGGGCGUAAAGGGCGCGGUAGGUGGCCAACUAAGUCAGACGUGAAAUCCCUCGGCUUAACCGGGGAACUGCGUCUGAUACUGGAUGGCUUGAGUUUGGGAGAGGGACGCGGAAUUCCAGGUGUAGCGGUGAAAUGCGUAGAUAUCUGGAGGAACACCGGUGGCGAAGGCGGCGUCCUGGACCAAUACUGA
rnacentral:rRNA from 1 species